rnacentral:tRNA from 1 species
GAGGGUGUAGCUCAGUGGUAGAGCGUGUGCUUAGCAUGCACAAGGUCCUGGGUUCAAUUCCCAGCACUUCCA